UAGGGCAAGAGCAGAGGGAUCGCCAGCACAGGAGUCGGAGCCAGCACCGCAAAGGUCGGGAGGGAUUUGAAGAAGAGAUCUGAAGAAGGUGACUGAGGCCAGCUGAUGCAAAGGAAGUCAAACAUUUCAGGCACAUGGGGAAGCGCUAGCAAAGGCAGAAAGGUGAAGAUUAUCUCUAACUACGAAGCCAAAUUCAUCCCUAUGAGCUCGAGUUUUUGUCCUGACAGUGUCUGUAUAAUGCAGAGAGGGGCUCUUUUCAAGCCGGGUGUUUACCCAAACCAGAUGCAAGUAACUAUCCAUGGUACAACCCAGGAAAAGACAAAUGAAGGACCAUUACAGUUAAAGGGGAAGACACCGAGAUGCCCUGGCUAUCAAGUCGAGAGGGAACCUCCUUCCUCCUUCCCCCUCCUCCCCACAAUCUGAAUAACCAUGAAUUACCGUAGUCUGAGAAAAAGAAAAAAGCCCUGUAAUCCCUGUUAAAAGGGAAGAGGUUUGAAGUGAAAGGUAUCCAGAACUGAAGGACAGUCUCGAAGGCAGAGGACUGGCUGUGAAUGCUGGAUCCUCUCUGUGAUGGGGGCAUGCUGGGAAACUGCUCAAAGGCAAUGGCUGACUUCUAUUAGACAAGGGAUUUUAUCAGAUAUAGAG